CCCAUCUUCCUUUUUCUCUUCUUUUCCUAUUUUUUUUUCUUCUUUCUUCUUCUUUCUUCUUUCUUUUUUCAUCCUCUCAUCCUCAUAUUCAUGGCAGCCUCUACGCCACCACCUCCAUCUCCUGUGUUGUUACCAUCCAUGAGUCCCACACCCACCAUGCCACCAUCUUUGUAUUCCCCCAUGGCUAUUGUUCCCAUGUUCACUACGACUCAAACGUGCUUCCCGAUGUUUCGCCAUAACCCCGAUGUGAUUCUUGAUGUUCCAUCACCAUCAUAGCCACCAUUGUUGCAGCCCACAGCCUUGGUACCUCCUGCACUACCCAUUUAAUUUUGUUGGACUGACAUCAACACCACCAUCUCCAUGGUUGCCACUUCGUUCUUCAUCUUAGGGCUUCAAGAGACGUAGGUAUCUAAGAAAUACAUCAAGAAGAAGACAAUGAUGCAGAAACAAAGAUCACCUCUUAUGAAGAUAAUGUUGUACUUUUCAAUUUAAGUUUGUAUAUUAUUUUAAUUGAAUGUUUUUAGCUAGGUUUUGUUUGUAUAUAGAAAAUAGAGAGGUACUUGAAAAACAUUUAUGGAAUUGUGUUCUUAAUAUUUAAUGUAUAUGUAAUGAUUUUUUUUCUUAAA